rnacentral:rRNA from 1 species
AUUGAACGCUGGCGGCAGGCCUAACACAUGCAAGUCGAACGAGUGGCGGACGGGUGAGUAAUGUCUGGGAAACUGCCUGAUGGAGGGGGAUAACUACUGGAAACGGUAGCUAAUACCGCAUACCAUCGGAUGUGCCCAGAUGGGAUUGGCUAGUAGGUGGGGUAAAGGCUCACCUAGGCGCCGAUCCCUAGCUGGUCUGAGAGGAUGACCAGCCACCCUGGAACUGUGACACGGUCCCGCUGCCUACGGGAGGCAGCAGUGGGGAAUAUUGCACAAUGGGCGCAAGCCUGAUGCAGCCAUGCCGCGUGUAUGAGGAAGGCCUUCGGGUUGUAAAGUACUUUCAGCGGGGAGGCGUUACCCGCAGAGGAAGCACCGGCUAACUCCGUGCCAGCAGCCGCGGUAAUUC